rnacentral:ncRNA from 1 species
ACGCCGUCCCGAGCGGCGUUCGCGGCCUCGACCGGGCCAGUGCGGCGGGGGUGGUGCCGUGUCGGCGCAGCACCACCCCCGCCUU